rnacentral:rRNA from 1 species
GAUGAACGCUGGCGGCGUGCCUAAUACAUGCAAGUCGAGCGAACAGACGAGGAGCUUGCUCCUCUGACGUUAGCGGCGGACGGGUGAGUAACACGUGGAUAACCUACCUAUAAGACUGGGAUAACUUCGGGAAACCGGAGCUAAUACCGGAUAAUAUAUUGAACCGCAUGGUUCAAUAGUGAAAGACGGUUUUGCUGUCACUUAUAGAUGGAUCCGCGCCGCAUUAGCUAGUUGGUAAGGUAACGGCUUACCAAGGCAACGAUGCGUAGCCGACCUGAGAGGGUGAUCGGCCAGACUGGAACUGAGACACGGUCCAGACUCCUACGGGAGGCAGCAGUAGGGAAUCUUCCGCAAUGGGGGAAAGCCUGACGGAGCAACGCCGCGUGAGUGAUGAAGGUCUUCGGACCGUAAAACUCUGUUAUUAGGGAAGAACAAAUGUGUAAGUAACUACGCACGUCUUGACGGUACCUAAUCAGAAAGCCACGGCUAACUACGUG